GACGAACGCUGGCGGCGUGCCUAAUACAUGCAAGUUGAGCGCUGAAGGUUGGUACUUGUACCAACUGGAUGAGCAGCGAACGGGUGAGUAACGCGUGGGGAAUCUGCCUUUGAGCGGGGGACAACAUUUGGAGACGAAUGCUAAUACCGCAUAAAAACUUUAAACACAAGUUUUAAGUUUGAAAGAUGCAAUUGCAUCACUCAAAGAUGAUCCCGCGUUGUAUUAGCUAGUUGGUGAGGUAAAGGCUCACCAAGGCGAUGAUACAUAGCCGACCUGAGAGGGUGAUCGGCCACAUUGGGACUGAGACACGUCCCAAACUCCUACGGGAGGCAGCAGUAGGGAAUCUUCGGCAAUGGACGAAAGUCUGACCGAGCAACGCCGCGUGAGUGAAGAAGGUUUUCGGAUCGUAAAACUCUGUUGGUAGAGAAGAACGUUGGUGAGAGUGGAAAGCUCAUCAAGUGACGGUAACUACCCAGAAAGGGACGGCUAACUACGUG
rnacentral:rRNA from 1 species